UGGCGGCAGGCUUAACACAUGCAGGUCGAACGGGUGUAGCAAUACAUCAGUGGCAGACGGGUGAGUAACACGUGGGAACCUUCCUAGGGGUACGGAACAACUCAGGGAAACUUGAGCUAAUACCGUAUACGUCCGUGGGGAGAAAGAUUUAUCGCCCUUAGACGGGCCCGCGUCGGAUUAGGUAGUUGGUGGGGUAAUGGCCUACCAAGCCUACGAUCCGUAGCUGAUCUUAGAGGAUGAUCAGCCACACUGGGACUGAGACACGGCCCAGACUCCUACGGGAGGCAGCAGUGGGGAAUCUUGGACAAUGGGCGCAAGCCUGAUCCAGCCAUGCCGCGUGAGUGAAGAAGGCCUUAGGGUUGUAAAGCUC
rnacentral:rRNA from 1 species